CCCACCUGACCCUCUUCCUCUAACACUUCCUUUUUCCCACCUCCAGGGCACGCAGGAGGAACAGUGGGUGUUGGCCCAGAGCCCUCAGUGGUGUCCGAGGUAGAUUGCAAACAGCAGCAGAAACAUUUACUCCUCCCCCUCCAAGCCCUUGCAGUGACUUUGCAGCUCCUUCCUCAAGGGUGGGGGGGGGGGGGGGGGGGGGAGGGGGGUCAGUUCCCCUGCCCUUGAAUCCAGGCUCUCCUGUUGCUUGCUCCAGAGAACACAGCAGACGUGAAGGUGAUAAUGAGCCAGACCCCUAAGGCGGUGGGUUCCCUCUUUAAGUCACCCCUGGUAAGGUAACUUGGAAAUCAGAGCUCCCCCCUUUGUGGGGGACAGCACCUUGGUACCACUUCUAGCGGAGAGAGGGUGCGGCGUGGGUAGGAAGUAAUGCAGAAAGUUUUCAGGUCUCCCGUUCAGAACUGGGGAAAAGGGAAACACAGUGGCUCGCUGUUCCUCCUUCUUCAUUGGAAAGGAAGCUCUAGCAAGCUGGAAGACCAAGUGGGAACAGGGACCUCCUCCAUCGCAGUCCAAAGGAGCGCCUGGAUCACGCUUGUCUGGACAUUGAAGCCCGCUGGAGCACCAGGAGAGCCGUGGUGAGCCAGCAGGAGGGGACUGCGCAAGGUAGGAGCUUGUCACAGAGCAGCCUCUUGGGGAAGCUGGUGGACAAAACAAACAAGCUGACUUCGUAGAACAACGCUUUCCAACGUGAGCCCUUGUAAACGAGCAUUUGGGUUCCAGAGAUGGGAAUCAGACUGUGUUCUGGGUUUGGUUAGGAGAACCCAAAUCAACUCAAUUUGUGGCCUGUGCACAGAUUGCAUUCAAGCAUCGCAGAGGCUUUUGCUGCCUUGAGAAGACACACACACACACACACACACACACACAGGGGCACCUGGGUGGCUCAGUCCAUUAAGCGUCCAACUUCGGCUCAGGUCACGAUCUCACGGUUCGUGGGUUCGAGCCCCGCGUCGGGCUCUGCGCUGACAGCUCAGAGACUGGAGCCUGCUUCGGAUUCUGCGUCUCCUUCUCUCUCUGCCCCUCUCCCGCGCACACUCUGUCUCCUUCUCUCUCAAAAAUACAUA
rnacentral:lncRNA from 1 species